GACGUAGGUGGCGAACGUUAUCCGGAAUUAUUGGGCGUAAAGGGUGCGUAGGCGGUUCCGCAAGUCCUGUGUGAAAUCUUCGGGCUCAACUCGAAGUCUGCACGGGAAACUGCGGGGCUUGAGUGUGGGAGAGGUGAGUGGAAUUCCUGGUGUAGCGGUGAAAUGCGUAGAUAUCGGGAGGAACACCUGUGGCGAAAGCGGCUCACUGGACCACAACUGACGCUGAGGCGCGAAAGCUAGGGGAGCAAACAGG
rnacentral:rRNA from 1 species